rnacentral:misc_RNA from 1 species
UUGAAUGAACUUGGUGUGGUUGUUGCUGGCCCUUUUGGGGGCAUGUGCACACCCACCAUUCUCAUCUCUCCACCUGUGCACCUCUUGUAGACUUGGGAUAGAAUUUCCGAGGCAACUCGGUCUGGAGGAAUGCUGCCCUCUUUGGGCAAGCUUUCUUUGUAUUUCCUGGUCUACGUUUUUCAUAUACCCCUUAGCAUGUAACAGAAUGUAUCAUUUGGGCCCUUGUGCCUAUAAACCUUAUA